ACGAUGCGCGCGGUUUGUGUGUGUGUGUGCCAUGCUGUGUUCUGCAAUGCUUCGUUACCACGUUUAUCGAUUAUGCACGUUGGUUACUUGAUUCAAUGUCAAGUGUACCUUCCAAGACGAUCUAGGUCCUAGUCUCGUGACUGAAGGCGAGUGCGGACGUACAGCAGCCUUUUGACAAGACUGUCGCCGAGUGUACGGUACAUUGUGGACUGUAAAGCUGAAGAGUGCACAGUGGAUGCCUGAUUUUGGAACCGAGUGUGAUCGUCUGGGCGGUGUGUUCACUCUGCGGGGAUGAUGGCCAGAGGAAGGAUGAUAGACAGACGACAGCUUGCAGACGAAGAUGGGAGCGUUCUACCUGUGAGCCUGGUCGAGCUUAUAUUUUAUGGAUACACAUGCAUGGAUACACAUACAUGGAUUCCCUACAAGGACCCUGCGCAUCAAAAGCAAUCUGUCAUCAAUGUUAAGUAGACAGAUUAAACGAAACGAAGAUAUGACAGGUGUACACCAUAUUUUUCUUUCAUUUAACCUCUGCAUGUUUCCCAGU